rnacentral:rRNA from 1 species
GAUGAACGCUGGCGGCGUGCCUAAUACAUGCAAGUCGAGCGAACGGACGAGAAGCUUGCUUUUCUGAUGUUAGCGGCGGACGGGUGAGUAACACGUGGAUAACCUACCUAUAAGACUGGGAUAACUUCGGGAAACCGGAGCUAAUACCGGAUAAUAUUUUGAACCGCAUGGUUCAAAAGUGAAAGACGGUCUUGCUGUCACUUAUAGAUGGAUCCGCGCUGCAUUAGCUAGUUGGUAAGGUAACGGCUUACCAAGGUAACGAUGCAUAGCCGACCUGAGAGGGUGGUCGGCCACACUGGAACUGAGACACGGUCCAGACUCCUACGGGAGGCAGCAGUAGGGAAUCUUCCGCAAUGGGCGAAAGCCUGACGGAGCAACGCCGCGUGAGUGAUGAAGGUCUUCGGAUCGUAAAACUCUGUUAUUAGGGAAGAACAUAUGUGUAAGUAACUGUGCACAUCUUGACGGUACCUAAUCAGAAAGCCACGGCUAACUACGUG